rnacentral:rRNA from 1 species
GACGAACGCUGGCGGCGUGCUUAACACAUGCAAGUCGAACGGAAAGGCCCUGCUUUUGUGGGGUGCUCGAGUGGCGAACGGGUGAGUAACACGUGAGUAACCUGCCCUUGACUUUGGGAUAACUUCAGGAAACUGGGGCUAAUACCGGAUAGGAGCUCCUGCUGCAUGGUGGGGGUUGGAAAGUUUCGGCGGUUGGGGAUGGACUCGCGGCUUAUCAGCUUGUUGGUGGGGUAGUGGCUUACCAAGGCUUUGACGGGUAGCCGGCCUGAGAGGGUGACCGGCAAAAUGGGGACUGAGAUACGGCCCAGACUCCUACGGGAGGCAGCAGUGGGGAAUAUUGCACAAUGGGCGGAAGCCUGAUGCAGAAACGCCGCGUGCGGGAGGACGGCCUUCGGGUUGUAAACGGCUUUCGCCUGUGACGAAGCGUGAGUGACGGUAAUGGGUAAAGAAGCACCGGCUAACUACGU